ensembl:lncRNA
AUGGACUGUCCUAGUGUUGCUCUCAAUCACUCCUUCUUGGUUAUCCUCAACUCCUGCUGGUCCCCAAGUCUGGCAAUUCUACCUCCACCACCUCUUCCCUACUCCAGAAAUACGGAAGCUCCUCUGCUGGGCAUGUUACCUGCAAUUUCCUGCACUCCUUCUACUAUCUACUUGGUCCCAAUGCCUUGUUUGUAGAGGUCUACAUUAGCUCCUACUGUUGAAGUUUCACCACCUCUUUACAUCGUUUUCUUGAGAAGACCACAAAACAGCUACAGGUUGGCUCUGUCUCCUGCAGAGUAUGCAUUUGGCUCCCAGAAGAUACUUAUUCCUCGUUGCUUAUUCUGUUCUGGUAUACUUCACUUUAUAAGCAACAUCUUGACUGCUUUGGUGCCUUGGUUUAAACUUUAACUUCAACAUUCUGUUACAGAAAAAUCCACAUGUAACUAUGUAAAAUGCUGGGAGCAUGAAUGUGCUUUUUCUAAAUAACCUUAAAUCUGGAAUUAGCAAGAAAUCCAAUGUCUACCAAUUAUUUAUGGCACGAAGAAUUUAGAAAUGUCUGCUUCUGUGCCAGGACAGUUUGAAAACUUUAGGAUUGGCAUCCAAUACUGAGGAGUAAACUCCUAAUAAACAAAUUCAUCUAAAAAUAAUAGCUAAGAAUUCUCGGUUAGCUUAAACACAAAACAAAAGAAAAAAAUCAAAGUCACUUAUUUUGAGGGUUCUCGAGACAAAAGCAGCCAGUAUUUGGGGAGAUGUUAGAGUUUAAAGAAAGUAUCUGGCAGAUACUGAAUUCCUCCACCGCUUUUCUUUUCUUUAUAUACAUAUAUUCACUACUUUUCUUUUCCAGUGAACAAAACCCUGGAACUACUGAGGCUACCAGAGAAUGAAGGAGAAACACUAGAAAUAAGAGAGUGAAACAAGAAGCAAUAUUAUGAAAUUCCUAAUUCUGUGCAUAAACUUUAUAAAAAUCUGUUACUGGCUUCUAAACCAUGCAUAUGAGCGCCAAGCUGAAAGCUGCUUGAAUUCGAGCUUAAAGAACUGAAGUGACAUUUGGAGCACUAUUCAUUGCAGGUAUGGUCAGUUGGAUUUGACUCUAACAAGUUAAUUGCCUACUUUAAAAAAAUCAACAAUCUUCAAGGCAACAUAAGAAUCCACACAACAUAACAUUUAAAAUGUCCAGGAUGCAAUCCAAAGUUGGCAUAUGAAGAACAAGGAAAAGAUAAGCAACAGAUGCCAAACUUGCAAUGAUGCAGAUGCUAGAAAUACAAGAUAAGGAUGUUAAAGGCCCUAUUACAAACAUUCUUACCAAAAUGAAGGCUCAUACACUGAUAACACACUUAGAAUAACUAAGAAGAUAACAUAUCUCUGCAAAAAAAUAGGUAAUAUAAAAAAAUAGCAUGUUGGACAUUCUAGACCUAUAAAAUACAAUACCUAGAAUAAUUUUUUCAACAGAUGGGUUUAAUAAUCAUGUAGCAAUGGAAAGAAAGAAAUAAGUAAGUAAACACAAAAAAUAGAUCAAUAUAAAUUAUACAAUCUAAAGAAAAGUAGAAAAAAAAUGAGUUAAAGAGAAUGUGUGUGUUGUGGGGACAAUUUCCAAAGGUCCAGAAAAUU